AUCCCGCCCCGGCUGUCCCCGAGAGCCGUGCUGCCGGGCCCCGGGCCCGCAGAGCGGGCGCGGCCUCCUAAGCCGCGAGGGAGAGGACCAGCGCGGGGUGGCUGCAGCUCUGUCCCCGGCCGCCCCCGCCCCCGCCUCCCGCCGCUUCUCUUCCGCGCCUCCGCACCCAGGCCCGCGCCUGCUUUCGAUCCCGCCGCGGCCGCCGUUGCCUCCGCUUCCGACUCAGCCUCUGCUGCCUCCGCCUCCGCCUCUGCCUCCGCUCCGGCCGCGACCCCAACCGGGACCGCGACCUGAAUCCCCGCCCCGCCCCCGGGCCAACUUCUGCCCAGGCCGGGACACCGGCGGCAGCCCCCCCGAGGCCCAGCCGUGGGGACCAUGCUGCCUAGCUCCAUCCAGAUUUCGGGGGAGCCGCUGUCAGGCGCCGAGGUGCGGGACAUCUGCCGCGGCCUGCGCGACAACGCGGUGCGCCUGCUCUCGCUGCGCGGCUGUCGCCUGUGCGACCGCGACUUCGGCCGCAUCUGCCGGGCCCUAGCUGGAGCCACGUCCCUGGCGCAGCUCAACCUUAACCUGGGCGUCGUGUCUAGCCCCAGCCGCAUCAAGCAGCUGGCAGAAGCGCUACGGACCAACCGCUCCAUCCAGUCCCUCUUCCUACAUGGGAGCCCACUGACAGAUGCGGGACUGGCCUUGCUGAACCCAGCCCUGGCUCUCCACCCUGCCCUUGUGGCUCUUGACCUGGGGGACUGCAUGUUGGGUGAUGAAGCCAUCAACCUCAUCUGUGGCCUACUCCCUCCAGACGGGGCCAAGUCUGGAAGGGAGAUGCUUAGAAACUGAGCAGAGUGGAAACUGAUCCAGGCAGGGGAGGCGUGAGUCUGAAGGAGCUAACACUGAGCGCCAACCCUGGCAUCACCCCCAAGGGUUGGAGCCGCCUCGCCAUUGCUGUGGCCCACAGCUCCCAAGUCCGCGUCCUCAACCUGGACUACAACCCCCUGGGCGACCAUGUGGCAGGGAUGCUGGCUGUAGCUGUGGCCUCAAGCCGUACCCUAGAAGUCCUAGACUUGGAGGGCACAGGGCUCACCAACCAGUCAGCUCAGACCCUGCUGGACAUGGUAGAAAAUUACCCAACAGCUUUGCGGAGCCUGGUGUUGGCCGAGAACAGCAUUAGUCCAGAGCUGCAACAACAGAUUUGUGACCUCCUAUCUGAGGGGGAGGAAGAGGAAGAGAUGGCAGGAGGGGCUGCCGACACCCAGGAAUGGGAGAGAGGGCGGGAGCCUGCUGCCCACCAGCGGAGUGGCAGCUCCUGGAUGUGCCCCAGUGAUCCCAGUUCUCAGAUGGUGCUAAUGACAUCAGGACUAGGGGACAGUCUGUUGGCUGAGACUGAGAUGUGACUCUCCGCUUGGACUUCUGCACAGCAUUGCAUUUGUCUGUGUCCUCACUACCUUCCUCCACAGAGCAGGGAAAGGCCCUGGCUGGGGCUCUGGCAGCUCCUGGUAGUGGCACGAGGCUCUGGAAGCUGUCACUGGGCAACAGCCUUGAGGGGUGGCGGGGGGACUUGAACCCAGGGUACUGACUUUGAACUUGUUGGCAGCUCUGGCUGCAACCCGCUGGCUCGGAACAGAUUUUAUAAACUCCACAACCUGA